UACUUAAUAAGUCGUAUUAAAUUCUUGACAAAAGAACAAUAACAAAAGAAUAUUCAGCUAAAUGAGUAAGAGAGUCCCAUUUGCAAUCAGCAAAUUACAAGCCCAUUUUAUUGCUUCAAGCUCAUGAACAUACCUGGAACUAACAACUAUAUAACUUCAGCAAGGAAAUAGAAAUAUUAGUAGCUCUUAGACAACAGUAAACAACAACGAUCAACCAUGUUUUGAGCCCAGGAAAGUAGUAGUGUAUUCAAGCUUUUUAAAACAACCCAAGAGAGAUCAAAACCAGCUGCAAUGAAACAGUACUUGGAGAUUUUUUCUUUUUUUUUUCUUUUGUUUUUCUUUCUGAAUCUUAAACUCUAACAGUGUAUAUGUAUUUCAGCCGUUUGCUAGCUUUUUAUCUUCUAGUCUCUC
rnacentral:lncRNA from 1 species